rnacentral:rRNA from 1 species
UACGUAGGGUGCAAGCGUUGUCCGGAAUUAUUGGGCGUAAAGAGCUCGUAGGCGGUCUGUCGCGUCGGCUGUGAAACCCGGGCUCAACCCGGGCCUGCAGUCGAUACGGGCAGACUAGAGUGCGGUAGGGAGACUGGAAUUCUCGGUGUAGCGGUGAAAUGCGUAGAUAUCGAGAGGAACACCUGCGGCGAAGGCGGUUGCUGGCCGACACUGACGCUGAUGCGCGAAGCCAGGGAGCGAACGGG